rnacentral:misc_RNA from 1 species
GGCCGAACUCGUCCCUGUGGUCCCAAUGGGGGAGAAGUGGCCGUGAUUUCUCAUUUCUGUACAGAUGUAGACAACAAGGAGUUCGCUGUCGCUGUUUGUGUCUGCAGCCCAUUGCCGAACAGAUUACUCCGAGUUCAAUUGGGUCCCAAUUCGAAGUGCGCUUUCACUCUCUCUCUUCCUCACGACCUUCUCGUAUCCUUCAUCACCUCGUCUGACUGUCAAUACCCUUCUGGUUUUUGGGUGUUUUGAAGUCAAUAGUAAUCUAGUAGUGUUGGAAUUGGCAAGUCUCAUUAUGCUGGGUAGCUAUCAGCGAGUUAGGAAGCAUAGCCCAUGAAGUUUCAGGAUCUUAUCAGUUCUCUUUUAGCCUACUCAACUCCCUUAUGGGCAACUUUGGUGGCAGUUGUUUUUGUGGUCCUAACACUUGCCUUGUCAUUUUACCUUUUG